rnacentral:rRNA from 1 species
AGUGAACGCUGGCGGUAGGCCUAACACAUGCAAGUCGAACGGCAGCACAGUAAGAGCUUGCUCUUACGGGUGGCGAGUGGCGGACGGGUGAGGAAUACAUCGGAAUCUACUUUUUCGUGGGGGAUAACGUAGGGAAACUUACGCUAAUACCGCAUACGACCUACGGGUGAAAGCAGGGGAUCUUCGGACCUUGCGCGAUCGAAUGAGCCGAUGUCGGAUUAGCUAGUUGGCGGGGUAAAGGCCCACCAAGGCGACAAUCCGUAGCUGGUCUGAGAGGAUGAUCAGCCACACUGGAACUGAGACACGGUCCAGACUCCUACGGGAGGCAGCAGUGGGGAAUAUUGGACAAUGGGCGCAAGCCUGAUCCAGCCAUACCGCGUGGGUGAAGAAGGCCUUCGGGUUGUAAAGCCCUUUUGUUGGGAAAGAAAAGCAGCAGGUUAAUACCCCGCUGUUCUGACGGUACCCAAAGAAUAAGCACCGGCUAACUUCGUG